rnacentral:rRNA from 1 species
GACAGAGGUGCCGAGCGUUAGGCGGAAUCACUGGGCUUAAAGCGUGUGUAGGCGGGCGGGCAAGUACCUUGUGAAAUCCCACGGCUCAACCGUGGAACUGCUGGGUAUACUGCCUGUCUUGAGCCAGCCAGGGGCAGUCGGAACAGACGGUGGAGCGGUGAAAUGCGUAGAUAUCGUCUGGAACGCCAAAGGUGAAAACAGACUGCUGGGGCUGUGCUGGACGUGAGACACGAAAGCCAGGGGAG